CGUAGGUGGCAAGCGUUGUCCGGAUUUAUUGGGUUGAAGGGUGCGUAGGCGGCCCUGUAAGUCAGUGCUGAAAUCCCCCGGCGUUAACCGGGGUGGUGGCAUUGAUACUGCAGGGCUUGAGUACAGAUGAGGUGGGCGGAAUUGACGGUGUAGCGGUGAAAUGCAUAGAUAUCGUCAAGAACACCGAUAGCGAAGGCAGCUUACAGGGCUGUAACUGACGCUGAUGCACGAAAGUGUGGGGAUCAAACAGGAUUAGAUACCCUGGUAGUCCACACUGUAAACGUUGAUUACUCGCUGUUUGCGAUACACAGCAAGCGGCUUAGCGAAAGCGAUAAGUAAUCCACCUGGGGAGUACGCCGGCAACGGUG
rnacentral:rRNA from 1 species